GGUGAGCAACGUUUCUGGUGAG
rnacentral:miRNA from 1 species